GAAAUGCGAUAAGUAAUGUGAAUUGCAGAAUUCAGUGAAUCAUCGAAUCCUUGAACGCACAUUGCGCCCCUGGGAAAUCCUGGGGGCACACCUGUUCGAGCGUCAUCGCACACCUCAAGCUACGCUUGGUGUUGGGCCGUACGUCCCCCCAGUUCGGGCGGGACGCGCCCGAAAGCGAUGGGCGACAGCGCCUGGCUUCAAGCGUAAAUAAGGUUUUCGACAACCCUUCGCUUUGGAAGUCUAGGUUCCGGCAGCCUUCAAAACCAAUUUUCUACGGUUUGGCCUCGGAUCAGGUGGGGGUACCCGCUGAACUUAA
rnacentral:misc_RNA from 1 species